rnacentral:rRNA from 1 species
UGUGGCCAAAACCUCCUUGUCAAAGCCUGAUCUCAUCACAUCUCAGAAGCUAAGCAGGCUGGGCCUGGUCAGUACAUGGAUGGAAGGUUAGACCUGGUUUAGCCCUGG